rnacentral:rRNA from 1 species
UGAGGAAUUUUCGGCAAUGGGGGCAACCCUGACCGAGCAAUACUACGUGAAGGAGGAAGGUCUACGGAUUGUAAACUUCUGUUAGUGCGGAAGAAGGGCUGAACGCAAGUUCAGUUUUGACGGUACGUGCAGAGAAAGCCACGACUAACUACGUGCCAGCAGUCGCGGUAAGACGUAGGUGGCGAACGUUAUCCGGAAUCAUUGGGCGUAAAGGGUGCGUAGAUGGUGUAAUAAGUUAUCAGCGGUAAAUCGGGGCUCAACCUCGUGGAAGUUGGUAAUACUGUUAUACUCGAGUACAGGAGAGGUUAACGGAACUCCAUGUGGAGCGGUAAAAUGCGUAGAUAUAUGGAAGAACACCAAUAACGGCGAAGGCAGUUAACUAUUCUGCUACUGACAUUGAGGCACGAAAGCGUGGGGAGCAAAAAGG